ensembl:lncRNA
GUUAUUUUAGUCUGUGAGCUGAAUGACACAGAAAUGACAUUCAACAUCAUCACAGAAUAUUAGUGUUGGACUUUAAAAGAUCAGAGAUGUCUGAUACUAUUUAUGACAAUGUCAUUGGGACUGAGACUGAGGGAAUCAACAGAGAGAGAGUGGAGAUGAUGGUGGUUAUCUAUGAGAGUGCCGAUUGUGUGAGAGAUCAUAGGACAGAGACAAACACACACCAACCACUUCAGCAGACAGGAUCUUGUUAAGAAAAUAUCUGCUAAUGUCUGGAUUGGUCUGACUGACAGUGAUGAGGAGGGCAGGUGGAAAUGGGUUGAUGGCAGCACACUGACCUCUGUGUUCUGGAGGUCUGGAGACCCCGUGGAUAUAGAAGAGAGAACUGUGUUUUGUCUUCUACAUCAGGAUGGGCUGAUUAUCCAUCAGACUGAAUAUGUCUUAUUACGGCAAUAUGAACAUUCCUGGGACACGUGGCAUGGCUGGAGAUAAAGUGGAGAUGAAUAUCUAUGCUAAUGCAGAUGCUCAUGAUGUCAGGACAGAAACAGAGAACACCAAGAGACAACAAACACCUCAACACACAGGUA